UAAUACGGAGGGUGCAAGCGUUAAUCGGAAUUACUGGGCGUAAAGCACACGCAGGCGGUUUGUUAAGUCAGAUGUGAAAUCCCCGGGCUCAACCUGGGAACUGCAUUUGAAACUGGCAAGCUAGAGUCUCGUAGAGGGGGGUAGAAUUCCAGGUGUAGCGGUGAAAUGCGUAGAGAUCUGGAGGAAUACCGGUGGCGAAGGCGGCCCCCUGGACGAAGACUGACGCUCAGGUGCGAAAGCGUGGGGAGCAAACAGGAUUAGAUACCCUGGUAGUCCACGCUGUAAACGAUGUCGAUUUGGAGGUUGUGCCCUUGAGGCGUGGCUUCCGGAGCUAACGCGUUAAAUCGACCGCCUGGGGAGUACGGCCGCAAGGUUA
rnacentral:rRNA from 1 species